GACGAACGCUGGCGGCGUGCUUAACACAUGCAAGUCGAACGGAAAGGCCCUGCUUUUGUGGGGUGCUCGAUUGGCGAACGGGUGAGUAACACGUGAGUAACCUGCCCUUGACUUUGGGAUAACUUCAGGAAACUGGGGCUAAUACCGGAUAGGAGCUCCUGCUGCAUGGUGGGGGUUGGAAAGUUUCGGCGGUUGGGGAUGGACUCGCGGCUUAUCAGCUUGUUGGUGGGGUAGUGGCUUACCAAGGCUUUGACGGGUAGCCGGCCUGAGAGGGUGACCGGCCACAUUGGGACUGAGAUACGGCCCAGACUCCUACGGGAGGCAGCAGUGGGGAAUAUUGCACAAUGGGCGGAAGCCUGAUGCAGCAACGCCGCGUGCGGGAUGGCGGCCUUCGGGUUGUAAACCGCUUUCGCCUGUGACGAAGCGUGAGUGACGGUAAUGGGUAAAGAAGCACCGGCUAACUACGUG
rnacentral:rRNA from 1 species